rnacentral:rRNA from 1 species
UACGUAGGGUGCGAGCGUUGUCCGGAAUUACUGGGCGUAAAGGGCGCGCAGGCGGCCGUGUAAGUCCGCUGUGAAAGACCGGGGCUCAACCCCGGGGUGUCAGCGGGGACUGCACGGUUGGAGUCCCGGAGAGGGAGGCGGAAUACCUGGUGUAGCGGUGGAAUGCGUAGAGAUCAGGUGGAACACCGAUGGCGAAGGCAGCCUCCUGGACGGGUACUGACGCUGAGGCGCGAAAGCGUGGGGAGCGAACGGG